UUUUUUUUUUUUUUUUUUUUUUAGAUGGAGUUUUGCCAGCUCACUUGAUCUCAGCUGCUUGGAUGAGCUCCAUCCUGCAUCUUUCCCUGCCACCCCCAGCACCAAGGAUCUGAGGGAUGGUGACUGACUGCACCACCGCCUGGGUCUGCUGCAGUAUCCUUUCUUGUCCAGGCCCCACUCAAAGCUGGCCUCCUAUAUUACCCAGAGAGUGGGCCAAAGCAAUAUACUUAGAUGUGGAAUGCGGUGUUGCCAGAGCAUGAGAGGAUCACCAGGUAGUGUCAUCCUUCCUUCUGGUAAGGAUACAAGAUGCAAGUGUGUCUUUUACUUUGCAGGGGAGAGCCCUGCAUGCCUGUAAUCACUGGACCCAUAAUACUUCACUGCAGUGGCCACUCUUGAAACUCUCUAAGGUUUAUCUUCACCUUCUGUAGUGCACAUGUUUUGCCAAGGAAUUCAGCGUACUCUUCUCUUCUUGCUCAUCCAUCUUGAUUUAUGUGAUAUUGCCAAUGAAAUGAACAGAUUUAGUAUUCUGCGAGAUAUCUGAUUUUUCCAGAUCUCUGAAGGUGAUAUUUAUAGAAGGUUGAGGAGUUACGGUAGCCCUGAGGCAAGCUAUCAAUAAAUGUAUUAAAAAUCCCAUGUGAAUGUGAAUCAUUCCAUAUCCAUUUUCUAAAUGGAAUGGAAAGAAUGCACUCACUAAAUGCAUGGCUGCCUGCCAUGUGCCUGAGGCAUUAUCAAUCUCCCCAAGUACUGAUAUCCAGCUGCAAUCAGGGCUCCUAUUUGGUCAAGUCUGGAGUAAUUCCAUUCAUUCUUGAUCCAUAUCAGACUUCUCCAGGGACAGAUGGCUGAAUUAUAUGGAGAUAAUAGGCAACCCCAACAUCACCCCAUCCUUCAGAUCUCUAAUGGCAGUGCUACCCCUACAAUACCUGCAGUACCCUCCACAAGUCCCACCCUGGGGCACAAUAUUGCUUUUGGCUUGGCUGGGAUGAGGGAAGUUUUAGAGGAUUCCCUUUGGCUUCAGUACACUGAGAGUCCUUACUCUCCAGACUAGGGGACAGUGUGGGGUGACCAAAGUUGCCAGUGCAUGAAGGCCAAUUAUGCAUGUGGGGAAUGGGGAGAUAACCAGGACUGGGUUUAUGGACCCAGUGGUCCCACUGUGGGCCACAGUGUGUCCAGGUUUAUUUCCUGGCCUCCUUAAGCUCCACUGUGGAUUCUGAAUCUAAAGCUUGACUGAAGUCUAGGAAUUGAGACUGGGAUCAUGACUUUGUAUUUGGUCAAACACCCUCGGCCUCCUGCUCCUCAAUUCUUGCAUUCUCAUCAUAGAUAUGAAGCAGUGCCCUCGCUGGCCGCCCAUCUGUUCUGACCCUGGGACACCACCUUUUAUUACCUUCCCCACAACUCCUUGAGAACAGAGCCCUCUUGGCUGCUACUCUGGGUUCUCACAGUAACCGUGCCCUCUAUCUUUUGCAGGUCACUGCAAAGGAGGGUUCCUAAAGCAUUCACUCCUGAUCUUGAGGGAGGCGGGUGCACCCACUCCAGGUCUCACAUUCACCACAGAGAAUCAAAAACUCCUCACAUUCAAAACUGUCCUGGGCCACAUUCAGCCCACGAGCCGUGGGUUGGACAAGCUUGCAUCUAGAAUGUAUGUACCACAACGACAGAAAUUUUUCUAUUUUUACUUUAGUGAUGCUUUCUAAAUGCAAAACCAGUCAUAUCCCUAGCAGACAACAAAUGUCAGUGGAAUGAAUGAUCACUGUAGAGCAUCUCUCUAUUCUAAAGGCAGUAUCUUUAUUAAUGUAGCGUCAGGGCAAAUGCUGUUUUGUGGCAGCUAAAGAACAACAUCAUUUCACGUGGACAUCAAUGACGCCAGUGCUUUUCUCACCAGGGCUGCUUGUGCGUCCUCCCUUCCUUCCCCCUCCUCCCACACCAACCCUCCUGCACACUGCAGCACACAACCAUAUUUUUCUCUUCAGGAACAAUAACCCUAGCCUUAUGGGUACAAUUUUCCAACCACAUAUGAAUCUAAAUUAGACUCUGCUUUAUACAUCCAUGAGUUUGGAUUGGAGCCAGUGCUAGGAUUACUACAACUCAGGGCAGGAAGAUGAGUGGGACAGCAGAAGAGGAGCUCCAACAGAAGGUUACCUGUGAUGAGAAACUAGGGGACCCAUCUCUGCAAAUUUCAGAAUCUGGUUCCUUUAAAGCGAUUGGAGACAAGAUGGAAAAUACAAUCCAGGAAAGAGCCCUGGGAGGAGGGCAAGAUCUGGACAGGUCUGAAAAUUUAUCUCUUGAUAACACAAGGAGAUUUGUAUGCAGGGACCACCCUAGGUGACAUCC
ensembl:lncRNA